rnacentral:rRNA from 1 species
UACGAAGGGGGCUAGCGUUGUUCGGAAUCACUGGGCGUAAAGGGCGCGUAGGCGGCCGCUCAAGUCGGGGGUGAAAGCCUGUGGCUUAACCACAGAAUUGCCUUCGAUACUGUUUGGCUUGAGACCGGAAGAGGUGAGUGGAACUGCGAGUGUAGAGGUGAAAUUCGUAGAUAUUCGCAAGAACACCAGUGGCGAAGGCGGCUCACUGGCCCGAUACUGACGCUGAGGCACGAAAGCGUGGGGAGCAAACAGG